UUCCCAGAAUCUUUUGCUAUGAGUCAUUUGUUCUGAACGUGAGAGAUCUUGGAUUUUGUAUAGCUGCAUAAAUGAAACAUGACUAGUCUGCAUGCCCUUCUCUCAUGCUUUCUCCUAGGCUGUUUUGUUUGACAAUGCCAGGUUUAAAUGGCUUAAAACUUACAAACACCAAGUCACAAAUAAAAGCAGGACUUUGUGAUUGUAAUCCUCAGCAUUGUGGACUCUAGAAAUGGACAGGAGAAAUGGACUCUGAGAAAGCCAGUGGCAAUGCUGAUAUGCUUAUUUGUGCUACAGAAAUGAUAGAGGCAGGAAAGGUGCUUAACCUGGAUUGGAAACUACAGCAAUCAACACUGACUAGAAUCAGUCUGUAGGAAAUACCAGGAUAAGGAUGUGAGUAAAAGCCUGUUCUUCACUACAAGGGGGUGAGUAACACUGUGUAGAGCCUAAAGACAGAUUUACUGCUCAGAAAGAAGCAGGCUCCUGCCUCUCCUUAAAGUGGUGGUGGUGCUUUUGCUGCCCAGUCUCACCCUUGUCUAGGUGAUUUGGAUAUUUGGCUCUGAAGGAUGUCCUAUGCAUCAAGACCUUUUAUCUUUGUGUAUUAAUGUCUAAUGAGUCUCUCUGCUGUUUCUUGCUAGUUUCCAUGACUCAGGCAAUCUGGGCUACACAUUCCUGCAUCUUCUUCAAACUGAGGAACAGGAUGGUUUAUAUCUAAGGAACCAUUUACCAUGAUCCUGCCACGUGGAUUUUUGCCGAAAAUGCAAAACCAACGUUUGACAAGAUACUAAAGUUACAAGAUAAAGAUUCUUUUAUAUAACUUUGAUUCACUUCCUAUGGUGUAUAUCAAUUAUACUUCAAGAACACUGUGACAAUUCAGAUUCUGGAUAUAAUUAGCGUGAUUUUUACGGUUUCAUACUUACCAGAAGAACUGAUAUUACAAGACUUUUUAUUUAUUAGAAAAUGGACCUAAAUAUAUAUUGGAGACUUUUGAUGGUAUUGCAGUAUUCUACUGUACUUUUGAUUAUAUUAAGUGUAAUUAAUCUUCAUAGAAACUGUUUUGACAUAAUCUCACUUUUGAAAGUGACUUGUAAGUUUGCUCUUCCUGUCAGUGCUUAUAUUAUUAUUUUUUACUUAGUAGAAUACAUAAUGUCUAUCAAAAUUUUAACCUUCCUAAUAAUUACAUUGAUAUAAAAAUAUGACAGUGAAAAUAGAUUAAAGGCAAUUACUAAAGCCA